UCCUCCUUCCUGUUCUGGCCCCCACCCCAGAGGUUUCAGGACCUCUCUCUAGAGUCCCCACAUCCCUCUCUCCCCAGGCCUGAAAAGGAUGGGGAAGCCAGCAGUGUGGACGCCGUCUGCACCUACCAUCCUGACCCCGUGGGCCUCCAUGCCUCUGUGCUGGGAGCGGAGAGUCUCCACCUGUCUGCUUUUCCUCUCGGUGGCUCCAGGCUCUGCAGCCCAGAGUUUAUCCAUCCAGAGAGAGCACCAGCUACAUUUCCACAUCAUCAGCUGGAACCUCAGCAACCCGGAGCCCACAUCCUCGGAGUACACCGCCCUGGUGAGGGACACCCAGGACCAGGUCGGUCCCCCAUGGUAACCACACUGCAGUGGACUCACUGUGUACCCAGCCGCCUUGGCACAGAGACUGGAUAGAGUUGCCAUCUAUGAGGAAUUCCUGCGGCUGACCUGAAGGGUACCCAGCUGCAGAACUUGACCCUGGACGGAAAGAAUGUCCUUGUGGAUGAAUAUUCUCCCAACAGAGAUGACACCUUGACUGAGAAGCAUGGUAAACCUGCAGGAAACCCCAGCCCACGGUAGGGGGCGAGUAUCUUGAUGCUGUGCCUCAUCGAAGAGAACUAUGCGCACAGGGUC